AAUCAACGCUGGCGGCGUGCCUCAGACAUGCAAGUCGAACGCGAAAGUCCCCUUCGGGGGACAAGUAGAGUGGCGCACGGGUGAGUAACACGUAGGUAAUCUACCUUCGGGUGGGGAAUAACGCAGGGAAACUUGCGCUAAUACCGCAUAAUGCAGCGGCACCACAUGGUGACAGUUGUUAAAGCGGGGGAUUUUCGGACCUCGCGCCUGAAGAGGAGCCUGCGGCAGAUUAGCUAGUUGGUAAGGUAACGGCUUACCAAGGCGACGAUCUGUAGCCGGCCUGAGAGGGCGGUCGGCCACACUGACACUGACAUACGGGUCAGACUCCUACGGGAGGCAGCAGUCGGGAAUUUUGGGCAAUGGGCGAAAGCCUGACCCAGCAACGCCGCGUGAAGGACGAAAUCCCUCGGGAUGUAAACUUCGCAAGAAUAGGAAGAAUGAACGAGCGCUAACACCGUUCGUGAUGACGGUACUAUUUGUAAGCUCCGGCUAACUCCGUGCCAGCAGCCG
rnacentral:rRNA from 1 species